UGCAGUCGAACGCUUCAGCAAUGAAGAGUGGCAGACGGGUGAGUAACGCGUGGGAACCUUCCCAGUGGUACGGAAUAGCCCAGGGAAACUUGGGGUAAUACCGCAUAAGCCCUUAGGGGGAAAGAUUUAUCGCCAUUGGAUGGGCCCGCGUCGGAUUAGCUUGUUGGUGAGGUAAAAGCUCACCAAGGCGACGAUCCGUAGCUGGUCUGAGAGGAUGAUCAGCCACACUGGGACUGAGACACGGCCCAGACUCCUACGGGAGGCAGCAGUGGGGAAUAUUGGACAAUGGGCGCAAGCCUGAUCCAGCCAUGCCGCGUGAGUGACGAAGGCCUUAGGGUUGUAAAGCUCUUUUGGCGGGGACGAUAAUGACGGUACCCGCAGAAUAAGCUCCGGCUAACUUCGUGCCAGCAGCCGCGGUAAUACGAAGGGAGCUAGCGUUGUUCGGAAUUACUGGGCGUAAAGCGCACGUAGGCGGACUUGUUAGUCAGGGGUGAGAUCCCGGGGCCCAACCUCGGAACUGCCUUUGAUACUGCAAGUCUGGAGUCCGGAAGAGGUGGGUGGAAUUCCUAGUGUAGAGGUGAAAUUCGUAGAUAUUAGGAAGAACACCGGUGGCGAAGGCG
rnacentral:rRNA from 1 species